UACGGAGGGUGCAAGCGUUGCUCGGAAUUACUGGGCGUAAAGGGCGCGUAGGCGGCCUGUUAAGUCGAACGUGAAAUCCCCGGGCUCAACCCGGGAACUGCGUCCGAUACUGGCAGGCUUGAAUUCGGGAGAGGGAUGUGGAAUUCCAGGUGUAGCGGUGAAAUGCGUAGAUAUCUGGAGGAACACCGGUGGCGAAGGCGGCAUCCUGGACCGAUAUUGACGCUGAUGCGCGAAAGCCAGGGGAGCAAACGGG
rnacentral:rRNA from 1 species